rnacentral:rRNA from 1 species
UACGGAGGAUGCAAGCGUUAUCCGGAAUUAUUGGGCGUAAAGCGUCCGCAGGUGGUUUUGAAAGUUUGCUGUCAAAGCGCGGAGCUUAACUUCGUACCGGCAGUGAAAACUCCAAGACUAGAGUUUGGUAGGGGUCACGGGAAUUCCCAGUGGUAGCGGUGAAAUGCGUAGAGAUUGGGAAGAACACCAGCGGCGAAGGCGGCUCUCUGGGACGGUACUGACGCUGAGACGCGAAAGCGUGGGGAGCGAACAGG